rnacentral:lncRNA from 1 species
UUAUUUCGAACUUAUCGAAAUAACAGCCCGUUGUCGUUCGGUCGAGGUUGAACCUUCUCUUUUUUGGCGAAGGCCCUUGGCCUUAAAGGGUGUUAUUUCGAACAUAUCAAAAUAACAGUCCGUCGUCAUUCGAUCGAGGUCAAACCCUUCUCUUUUUUUGGCGAAGGCCCUUGGCCUUAAAGGGUGUUAUUUCGAACUUAUCGAAAUAACAGCCCGUCAUUGUUCGAUCGAGGUCGAACCCUUCUCUUUUUUUGGCGAAGGCCCUUGGCCUUAAAGGGUGUUAUUUCGAACUUAUCGAAAUAACAACCUGUUGUC